rnacentral:lncRNA from 1 species
GUGGUGGUGUAAUAAUUAAAAAUAUUUAUGGUGGAAUAUUUUAAUAUGAAAGCAAAAAUUUUAAUAAUGCCCCAUGUCUCAUAUUAUGAAAUCUACACUUGCACAGAGUAGAAACUGUUUGUAAAUUUUAAACAAUGAGCUUCAAAGUACCCUUUUUGUAUGUGUUCAGGGGGUGUCUUCACAUACAUGUAUACAAAAUUACAAUUUCAGUUUGAUUCCAUAUACAGAAUUAAAACUUCUG